GCCUCAGUAACGGCGAGUGAAGCGGCAACAGCUCAAAUUUGAAAUCUGGCCUCUUCGGGGUCCGAGUUGUAAUUUGUAGAGGGUGUUUCGGGCGCGAUGCCGGUCUAAGUUCUUUGGAACAGGACGUCGUAGAGGGUGAGAAUCCCGUAUGCGACCGGCGAUCAAGCCUGUGUGAAGCCCCUUCGACGAGUCGAGUUGUUUGGGAAUGCAGCUCAAAAUGGGUGGUAAAUUUCAUCUAAAGCUAAAUAUUGGCCAGAGACCGAUAGCGGACAAGUAGAGUGAUCGAAAGAUGAAAAGCACUUUGGAAAGAGAGUCAAACAGUACGUGAAAUUGUUGAAAGGGAAGCGCUUGCAAUCAGACCGGUCCGGAGGCGAUCAGCCGCUGCUCGUCAGCGGUGCACUCGCCUGCGAUCCGGCCAGCAUCGGUUUGGGCGGCGGGAGAAAAGGCCGGGGAAUGUAGCUUCUUUCGGGGAGUCUUAUAGCCCGGGUCGCAAUGCCGCCCGCCUGGACCGAGGACCGCGCUUCGGCUAGGAUGCUGGCGUAAUGGUUGCAAGCGACCCGUCUUGAAACACGGACCAAGGAGUCUAACAUCUAUGCGAGUGUUUGGGUGUCAAACCCAGGCGCGGAAUGAAAGUGAACGGAGGUGGGAACCCGUCAGACGGCGCACCAUCGACCGAUCCAGAUGUCUUCGGAUGGAUUUGAGUAUGAGCAUAGCUGUUGGGACCCGAAAGAUGGUGAACUAUGCCCGGAUAGGGUGAAGCCAGAGGAAACUCUGGUGGAGGCUCGCAGCGGUUCUGACGUGCAAAUCGAUCGUCAAAUCUAGGCAUAGGGGCGAAAGACCAAUCGAACCAUCUAGUAGCUGGUUCCUGUCGAAGUUUCCCUCAGGAUAGCAGUAACGUUUUCAGUUUUAUGAGGUAAAGCGAAUGAUUAGAGGCCUUGGGGCUGAAACAGCCUUAACCUAUUCUCAAACUUUAAAUAUGUAAGAAGUCCUUGUUACUUAGUUGAACGUGGACAUUUGAAUGCACCGUUACUAGUGGGCCAUUUUUGGUAAGCAGAACUGGCGAUGCGGGAUGAACCGAACGCGAGGUUAAGGUGCCGGAAUGCACGCUCAUCAGACACCACAAAAAGUGUCAAUUCAUCCAGACAGCCGGACGGUGGCCAUGGAAGUCGGAAUCCGCUAAGGAGUGUGUAACAACUCACCGGCCGAAUGAAUUGGCCUUGAAAAUGGAUGGCGCUCAAGCGUGCUACCCAUACCUCGCCGCCAGGGUAGAAACGAUGCCCUGGCGAGUAGGCAGGCGUGGAGGUCCGUGACGAAGCC
rnacentral:rRNA from 1 species